rnacentral:rRNA from 1 species
GACGAACGCUGGCGGCGUGCCUAAUACAUGCAAGUUGAGCGAUGAAGAUUGGUGCUUGCACCAAUUUGAAGAGCAGCGAACGGGUGAGUAACGCGUGGGGAAUCUGCCUUUGAGCGGGGGACAACAUUUGGAAACGAAUGCUAAUACCGCAUAACAACUUUAAACAUAAGUUUUAAGUUUGAAAGAUGCAAUUGCAUCACUCAAAGAUGAUCCCGCGUUGUAUUAGCUAGUUGGUGAGGUAAAGGCUCACCAAGGCGAUGAUACAUAGCCGACCUGAGAGGGUGGACGGCCACAUUGGGACAGGGACACGGCCCAAACUCCUGCGGGAGGCAGCAGUAGGGAAUCUUCGGCAACGGACGAAAGUCUGACCGAGGAACGCCGCGUGAGUGAAGAAGGGUGUCGGAUCGGAAAACUCUGUUGGUAGAGAAGAAAGUUGGUGAGAGUGGAAAGCUCAUCAAGUGACGGUAACUACCCAGAAAGGGACGGCUAACUACGUG